GAUGAAGAACGCAGCGAAAUGCGAUAAGUAGUGUGAAUUGCAGAAUUCAGUGAAUCAUCGAAUCUUUGAACGCACAUUGCGCCCCUUGGUAUCCCGAGGGGCAUGCCUGUUCGAGCGUCAUUUCACCACUCAAGCCUGGCUUGGUGUUGGGCGACGUCCUCUUUGGGGACGCGCCUCGAAACGCUCGGCGGCGUGGCACCGGCUUUAAGCGUAGCAGAAUCUUUCGCUUUGGAAGUCGGGGCCCCGUCUGCCGGAAGACCUGCUCGCAAGGUUGACCUCGGAUCAGGCAGGGAUACCUGCUGAACUUAAGCAUAUCAAUAAGCGGAGGA
rnacentral:misc_RNA from 1 species